AUGCCGACAAAGAGAGGGUGGUUCAAAGUGCACUAUCUGUUCUGAUCAGCUUAAUAUUAUCAGAUACGCUCUAUAUUUGGGUCUAACAUAUUAAACUCAUUUUUGCAAGUUGGCGGUUUGCGUAAAAGCCUGCUUCUCCUCCGUCGCUGGUCCGUCUGCUAAUGAACUAUCUUCAAUAUCGACCCACGUAUC